rnacentral:rRNA from 1 species
UAAGGAAUAUUGGACAAUGCCCGCAAGGGUGAUCCAGCCAUGCCGCGUGCAGGAAGACGGCCCUAUGGGUUGUAAACUGCUUUUAUACCGGAGAAAACCUCUCCUCGUGAGGAGAGCUGAUUGUAUGGUAGGAAUAAGCAUCGGCUAACUUCGUGCCAGCAGCCGCGGUAAGACGAAGGAUGGAAGCGUUAUCCGGAUUCAUUGGGUUUAAAGGGAGCGUAGGUGGCCUUAUAAGUCAGUGGUGAAAUCUCUUCGCUUAACGAAGAAAUUGCCAUUGAUACUGUAGGGCUUGAGUAUAGUUGCCGUUGACGGAAAUGACAUGUAGUGGUGAAAUACAUAGAGAUGUCAUAGAACACCGAUUGCGAAGGCAGCUGACGAAACUAUAACUGACGCUGAGGCUCGAAAGUGCGGGGAUCAAACA